rnacentral:rRNA from 1 species
GAUGAACGCUGGCGGCGUGCCUAAUACAUGCAAGUCGAGCGAACGGACGAGAAGCUUGCUUCACUGAUGUUAGCGGCGGACGGGUGAGUAACACGUGGAUAACCUACCUAUAAGACUGGGAUAACUUCGGGAAACCGGAGCUAAUACCGGAUAAUAUUUUGAACCGCAUGGUUCAAAAGUGAAAGCCGGUCUUGCUGUCACUUAUAGAUGGAUCCGCGCUGCAUUAGCUAGUUGGUAAGGUAACGGCUUACCAAGGCAACGAUGCAUAGCCGACCUGAGAGGGUGUACGGGCACUCUGAGACUGAGACGCGGUCCAGACUCCUAGGGGAGGCAGCGGUAGGGAAUCUUCCGCGAUGGGCGGAAGCCUGACGGAGCAGCGCCAGGUGGAUGAUGAAGGUCUUCGGAUCGGAAAACUCUGUUAUUAGGGAAAAACAUAUGUGUAAGUGACUGUGCACAUCUUGACGGUACCUGAUCAGGAAGCCACGGCUAACUACGUG